GUAGCUUUGACUUCCUUGGAACGCUGGCAUACAAAAAUAAUUACUGAUUAUAAAGUGCUUUGAAAAUGUAGCUGCAUUGUAUAACACCAGCGUUAGCGCUAACCUUUAGUAGGGUUCACAACAAAUCAAUUAAUUUUUGAUCAUCCUGGCAGUACUGCCAAGUAUCAUUAGUGCUGGAAGCCACAGCCGCCGCUGAGGACCUGCUCAUGUUUACUUCCUGGAAGGCUCACUUUUCAGUGUGUGCUGCGGAGUUGGCCCUGACUGCACAUUAUAGCACAAGUAAUUAUUCAUCAGAACUUGUCUUGCUGCAAGCAAUUCAUUCCUCUCUCCACAGAUGUCCCCUGCUCUGACCCAGAGCAGCACGAAUUUGGGCUAAAAAUAGCAGCUCCAUAAUGCAGCAGGUCACCAUGGUGAGACUUUCUAUUCAAGCAGUUUUCAUCCCCGUGGCUUCAGAGUAUUUCGCCUACAGAAGUUAACCCUUGAAGAAAUCUUGGAAGGAGUGGGAGAGUGACAGUGCUGGUCUUACCACUGUCAUUCCCCUUUCUGAUCAUGGCACAUGCUCAAAAGAACAUUGGUGACACCUACUAUGUGCAACUAAACAGCAGGCAGUGUGGAGGAUGAACAGAAUCCUGACAUCCUUCUCACAAGAAAGCAAACACUUAAAGCCAUUUGGCUACAAUCCUCAAGUCUCACAGCUGUCAUCUGCUGGGAAGGUUUGGGAGGGAUUUGGCCAGAAGUGUGGAAAAGAAACUGCUGUUUUUCACUAUUAAAUCCACUGGACUAUUGCUGAGUAUAUGGAAAAUCUCUGUACUAUCUUCUCAAGUUUUGUAUAAAUUUUAAGGGGUUCAGAAAAAUAAAGUCUUUUUACAAAUUCACAUAUAUGACAUUCAAAAGAUGUAUUUGGGAAAAUAGUGAUUAAAUUAUAAAAUAUUAACCUCUGUGCUAAUUUAAGCUUCUUUCUUAUUCUUACUUAUUUUCUACCAUUCUAGCAUAGUCUUUUCUUGGGUUUCUCAUUUUGACAAUAGUUAACAAUUUCUAGAAAAAGGCAGCUUGAUCACUCUACUUGCUAGGUUCUUUUAAGAAAACAUUGUGGAACCCUCAUCUUUCAACCAAGACCUUGAACAUUUACUCCCAUGCUUCAAUAAGGAACUGAAAAAACAGUGCAUGGAGACCACUCCAAAUACCUCACAUUACUCCUUAACCUACUGCUUGGUACAGGGCUAAAACUUACCAAAUAAAAGCUAUCUAUGUAACACAGAAAGGCAGCAUUUUCUAAUGUUAAGAGUGAUGUUGGCAAUUGAGUUUCCCAGGGUCAUAUCCAUGUCCUAAUCAACAGCUUGGGUUUGGAGGAACAGUUGAUGUCUGAACUUGACCAGUGCACCCUAACAAUUCACAGCAUGGGGCUCCUUCACAGCAUGGGGUUCCUUCAGUCUGAAGCUGUCAGUCUUGCUGCUCCUCAUCAAAUGUUGCAGAGCACCUCGGCACCCUCCACCCUCUACUCAAGGACCUUCCGGAAUGUUUAAGCAAGUCUCAUAACGCUCCCCUUAGACUAUCCACAGAGUUUCUUUCCUUACAGAGAGUUACCAGUCUGCCUCCUCUUGAGCCUCUUUCUUGAACUCCUGGUAUUUAAAUCUGUUUGAAACUUCAAGAAUCACUCCUGGAUUGAUUCAUCUUGUGACAGAAGCCACUCUUGGAUAUGAAUGAAGCCUCUCACCAACUGUAUCUUUUUCCAACUCCUGUGGAAAUCUCAGCUUUCCAGGAUUCUUCUUUGCUACCAAGAAGCCUGUUAGUUUCUUACUCUCUUUUUUACACUCACAUCAUGUAACAUCAUCUCUACAGCUGAGGGUGAUAUUAACCUCUUAGCAAUUUGGGGACACUCACAAAAAGGAAAUAUUCAUUUUCAUUUUCUUCCUCUUGUGAUUAUUUAUUUCCCCCAAGAUUAUUUUCAGAAUGAAAUUUUCUAAGCUUAGUUUUAGGUAAAGUGUUAUUUUAGCUUUUUUUUUUCUUUUUUGACAGGCAGAGAGGAUAGUGAGAGAGACAGAG